rnacentral:rRNA from 1 species
GACGAACGCUGGCGGCAUGCCUAAUACAUGCAAGUCGAACGCUGAAGCACUCUGCUUGCAGAGUGCGGAUGGGUGGCGAACGGGUGAGUAACACGUGGGAAAUCUGCCUAUAAGAGGGGGAUAACAUUCGGAAACGGAUGCUAAUACCGCAUAUAUUCUUGGACCGCCUGGUCCUUGAAAGAAAGACGGCUUUGCUGUCGCUUAUAGAUGAUCCCGCGGCGUAUUAGUUAGUUGGUGGGGUAAAGGCCUACCAAGACAAUGAUACGUAGCCGACCUGAGAGGGUGAUCGGCCACACUGGGACUGAGACACGGCCCAGACUCCUACGGGAGGCAGCAGUAGGGAAUCUUCCACAAUGGGCGAAAGCCUGAUGGAGCAAUGCCGCGUGAAUGAAGAAGGUCUUCGGAUCGUAAAGUUCUGUUAUUAGAGAAGAACAAGUCAAGGAGUAACUGUCUUGACUUUGACGGUACCUAACCAGAAAGUCACGGCUAACUACGUG